AAGGCUUUAGCUUAAUUUAAAGUACCUGGUUUGCAUCCAGGUGACGUGGGGUAGUAUCCUGCAGGUCUUA
rnacentral:tRNA from 1 species